GAGGAGCCGUGUCAUUACAGCCCACCCAGGGCUGGGCUAAUGGCACUGCCAGGGCUGGCCAGGGCCAUGCAGGGCGCAGGUGCUGCUUGUUGUCUGGUGAAUGAUGCCCAGGCUGGUGAGGCUGAAAUGCACCUGGGUCCACGGCAUCUUGUUACCCUUGCACUCAGCUCCCUGCCUUCAGGGUGCGGGGAGAAGCCAUCCUGAGCUGCCCAGGCCCUGGUUGUGCUGGGACUCUGGGGGACAUAGAGCAGUGUAGCCUGGCAGGAUGAUUGGGGGGUGGGCUUCAGGUGGCUGGGAGGAAACAGGCCACAAAACCAGGAGGGAGACCCGGGCAGGAACCACUGCAGAGCAGCACGGCUCAGCUGGGAGGGAGGUAGCUUUUAGGAUCCAGCAGCAAGGCAGAGAUCCUUUGCUUUCAGGGAAGCAGCAGCUUUUCCAUACACAUCCGCUGCCCCCAGCAGCAACGGGCACCCAGCACCCCACACGCACGGCUAUGCCAGGGGCACGUCCCCUGGCUGCAGGCUUAUCCCCCCACAGACAGCCAGGCUGGUCUCCCAGGGGAAGCUUUCUUCCCAGUGCCGUGCCACUACAGCUUACAGUCACUGCAGGGUCUGAUGUGGCACCAGUCAGAUGCUGCUCUGACUGGCAACUGUGCGUGCAGGGCCCGGCUGGGCCAGGCUGCAGACAAGGUCAUAAAAUGCAGCAGUCCUGGCACGGAGCGUGCUUCUCGCAGCCUUGCAAGUGUGCGGGCAGCUCUGUUCACCCGAGCGAGCGCCACAAACAGGCAGAACCUGUGAGAGGAGGUGGAGGGAGGCGGCUGGGCAAGAUGCGUCCUAGAACCAGGGAGUUUCUUUCCCCUCCCCUCAGUUUUUUGCAUUGCACGAGACACCCUGGGGUGCUACGUCUGGCUGCAGGAGCGAGACAGGCCCCUCCACAGGACCUGCAUGCCAGCAGGGUCAGCUCUGCGCUGCCUAGCUCCCCCCAGCCCCAUGGCACUACCCUGGGGGACCCAUUCAGGCUCUCCAGGAUGCCAGGUACCUCCAGCUGGGUUAGCUGCCUGUUCAGUUAGGAUGUAAUGAAA
rnacentral:lncRNA from 1 species